rnacentral:lncRNA from 1 species
UGGUGCUUAGCGGGCUGAUAUGAAAAGUUUAUCACAUGCUUCGAACGUUAUCACAUGCCUUUCCGUAACGUUAUCACAUGGCAUUCCGGUGAUACUCGGCAAAUUCCGGAAAAUACACCUCAAUGCUACGUUUUUAGUGAAACAUUACCAUGAAGUGUACAAAACAAUUAUUUGGAUACUGGAAAGUAUAUUGUGUAAAAUAAUUAAAAAAAUAAAUUAUUAAGUAAAUGCA